AACGAACGCUGGCGGCAGGCUUAACACAUGCAAGUCGAGCGCCCCGCAAGGGGAGCGGCAGACGGGUGAGUAACGCGUGGGACUCUACCCAUCUCUACGGAAUAACGCAUGGAAACGCGUGCUAAUACCGUAUACGUCCUUCGGGAGCAAGAUUUAUCGGAGAUGGAUGAGCCCGCGUUGGAUUAGCUAGGUGGUGGGGUAAAGGCCUACCAAGGCGACGAUCCAUAGCUGGUCUGAGAGGAUGAUCAGCCACACUGGGACUGAGACACGGCCCAGACUCCUACGGGAGGCAGCAGUGGGGAAUAUUGGACAAUGGGCGCAAGCCUGAUCCAGCCAUGCCGCGUGAGUGAUGAAGGCCCUAGGGUUGUAAAGCUCUUUCACCGGUGAAGAUAAUGACGGUAACCGGAGAAGAAGCCCCGGCUAACUUCGUGCCAGCCGCCGCCGUAAAAC
rnacentral:rRNA from 1 species